rnacentral:tRNA from 1 species
GGAAAUGUGGCUUAGUGGUAGAGUGCUUGCCUAGCAUGCAUGAAAUGAAGCCCUGGGUUCGAUUCCUCAGUACCA